GAUGAAGAACGUAGCGAAAUGCGAUACUUGGUGUGAAUUGCAGAAUCCCGUGAACCAUCGAGUCUUUGAACGCAAGUUGCGCCCGAAGCCAUCAGGUUGAGGGCACGUCUGCCUGGGCGUCACAUAUCGUUGCUCGAUGCCUAUCGCAUUGCGAUAGGACUUAGGGCGAAUGAUGGCUUCCCGUGAGCGUUGUUGCCUCGCGGUUGGUUGAAAAUCGAGUCCUUGGUAGGGUGUGCCAUGAUAGAUGGUGGUUGAGUGAUGAUGCUCGAGACCAAUCAUGGGUAACUCCACCAGAAUUGGGCUCGGUGACCCACAUGCGUCCCUUGGAUGCUCCCUAAGGAGACCUCAGGUCAGGCGGGGCUACCCGCUGAGUUUAAGCAUAUCAAUAAGCGGAGGA
rnacentral:misc_RNA from 1 species